CCUACGGGAGGCAGCAGUAAGGAAUAUUGGUCAAUGGAGGAAACUCUGAACCAGCCAUCCCGCGUGAAGGAUGAAGGGGCUCUGCCUUGUAAACUUCUUUUGUCUGGGGCGAAAAAGCUCGAUUUAUCGAGAACUGACGGUACCAGAAGAAUAAGCACCGGCUAACUCCGUGCCAGCAGCCGCGGUAAUACAGAGGGUGCAAGCGUUAUCCGGAUUCACUGGUUUGAAGGGGUCCGAGGGCGGCAUUGGUGAAAGGCUGUGGCUUAACCAUGGAAUUGCCAUUGAAACUGCAGAGCUUGAAUGAGGUUGAGGUUGGCGGAAUGUGACAUGUAGCGGUGAAAUGCUUAGAUAUGUCAUGGAACACCGAUUGCGAAGGCAGCUGACUGGACCUAUAUUGACGCUGAGGCACGAAAGCGUGGGGAGCGAACAGGAUUAGAUACCCUAGUAGUC
rnacentral:rRNA from 1 species